UAAGCCUGCGAAGGUGGCCUGUGAGGGUUGCUGGAGGUAUCAGAAGUGCGAAUGCUGACAUAAGUAACGAUAAAGCGGGUGAAAAGCCCGCUCGCCGGAAGACCAAGGGUUCCUGUCCAACGUUAAUCGGGGCAGGGUGAGUCGACCCCUAAGGCGAGGCCGAAAGGCGUAGUCGAUGGGAAACGGGUUAAUAUUCCCGUACUUGGUGUUACUGCGAAGGGGGGACGGAGAAGGCUAUGUUGGCCGGGC
rnacentral:rRNA from 1 species